ACUGGCCAGAUAUCCAGGGAAAGAAGAGGUGAACUAGUGAUUACCCGCCUUAGAGAGCCGAAAGCCUUAACCCAAGCCUUUCCAACUUAGAGUUUUAACUUUCCUUACAUGACCUGAGAAUAAACCUAUGACAUUUAGAAAUCACUGAUGGAAGCUUUAACAUCGUGCAUGUCAAGCCUGCUAACCUAGAAGAGCUGACGGAAGUCACCACCGCUGCCGAAUUCCACCCACACCAGUGCAAUGUGUUUAUCUACAGCAGCAGCAAAGGGACCACCCGGCCAUGUGACAUGCGUUUCUCUGCCCUGAGUAACAAACACUCUAAAUUUUUUGAAGAGCCUGCAGAUCCCACCAGUAGGUCCUUUUACUCAGAAAUGAUUUCACCCAUCUCUGAUGUCAAAUUCAGCCACAGUGGUUGAUACAUGAUGACGAGAGACUACCUGUCAGUGAAGGGAAGGUGUGGGACCUCAACAUGAGAGCAGGCCUGUGGAGACCCAUCAGGGGCACGAGUACCGAUGAAGCAAGCUGAGCUCCCCGUAUGGAAUGACUGCAUCUCUGACAAGUUUGAGUGCUGCUGGAAUGGUUCAGACAGCGCCAUUAUGAUGGGAUCCUACAACAACUUCUUCAGAAUGUGUGACAGAAACAGUCGGAGGGAUGUUACACUGGAAGCUUCAAGAGAGAACAGCGACCCCCGAGCCACCUUAAAACCCCGGCAAGGCCUUCAUCUGGACAUGGCAUGGCCACCGCCCACAUUCCUUGCUGGCCUUUCUGAGCCGAGUGGGCAUACCUACCCUUGGUGUGUGGCUGCUGCCCAAGGACAGCCCGGCAGCUUCACUCACGAAUUCCAUCGAUCAUCACACAUUCUGGUGUAACCACUCAAUAAACAACACACCAUAAAGUGUUCUUAAAUCUAAACACAGGGGUCGUCUUUUUAUUUGUCUCAACUGCAUAUAAUGAAAUUAUGCAAAAUUCUUUGGAAUAAUUUGAGAGACUUUUGUCCUUUGGCAGAAGGGUGGACUGUGUAUAGUACUUCAAAUUCUAAAUAUAAGUAUCUCCAAACUGCCAUACCUUUGUUUUGUUUCUUAGAAAUAGUCCAUCUGUUGUACCAGGUAAGGACUGGGGAAAGCCAUAACUGACUCCACCUCCAAGAAGAAACUACAAGAGCAAUGAAAUUGCUGCUAUAAAAUUAAAACCUGGCUUAAAGUAGGCCUCAAAUUCACUACAAUUGAAAACUUA
rnacentral:lncRNA from 1 species